ACUCGGGUGAAGGAACUAGGCAAAAUGGUACCGUAACUUCGGGAGAAGGUACGCUCUCGACGGUGAAGUCCCUUGCGGAUGGAGCUAUUGAGAGUCGCAGAUACCAGGUGGCUGCAACUGUUUAUUAAAAACACAGCACUGUGCAAAAUCGUAAGAUGACGUAUACGGUGUGACGCCUGCCCGGUGCCGGAAGGUUAAUUGAUGGGGUUAGACUUCGGUCGAAGCUCUUGAUCGAAGCCCCGGUAAACGGCGGCCGUAACUAUAACGGUCCUAAGGUAGCGAAAUUCCUUGUCGGGUAAGUUCCGACCUGCACGAAUGGCGUAAUGAUGGCCACGCUGUCUCCACCCGAGACUCAGUGAAAUUGAAAUCGCUGUGAAGAUGCAGUGUACCCGCGGCUAGACGGAAAGCACGUACGCCAGUAUGUGUGGAGCCGUCCUUGAAAUACCACCCUUGUAGUGUUGAUGUUCUAACGUCGACCCCUUAUCGGGGUUGCGGACAGUGCCUGGUGGGUAGUUUGACUGGGGCGGUCUCCUCCCAAAGAGUAACGGAGGAGCACGAAGGUGGGCUAAUCACGGUUGGACAUCGUGAGGUUAGUGCAAUGGCAUAAGCCCGCUUGACUGCGAGAAUGACAAUUCGAGCAGGUGCGAAAGCAGGUCAUAGUGAUCCGGUGGUUCUGAAUGGAAGGGCCAUCGCUCAACGGAUAAAAGGUACUCCGGGGAUAACAGGCUGAUACCGCCCAAGAGUUCAUAUCGACGGCGGUGUUUGGCACCUCGAUGUCGGCUCAUCACAUCCUGGGGCUGAAGUCGGUCCCAAGGGUAUGGCUGUUCGCCAUUUAAAGUGGUACGCGAGCUGGGUUUAGAACGUCGUGAGACAGUUCGGUCCCUAUCUGCCGUGGGCGUUGGAAGAUUGAAGGGGGCUGCUCCUAGUACGAGAGGACCGGAGUGGACGAACCUCUGGUGUUCGGGUUGUGUCGCCAGACGCAUUGCCCGGUAGCUAAGUUCGGAAUCGAUAACCGCUGAAAGCAUCUAAGCGGGAAGCGAGCCCUGAGAUGAGUCUUCCCUGAUACUUUAAGUAUCCUAAAGGGUUGUCGGAGACUACGACGUUGAUAGGUCAGGUGUGUAAGUGCUGUGAGGCAUUGAGCUAACUGAUACUAAUUGCCCGUGAGGCUUAACCAUACAACACCCAAGGGGUUU
rnacentral:rRNA from 1 species